GAUGAACGCUAGCGGCAGGCCUAAUACAUGCAAGUCGAACGGUAAGUAUUUUAGCAAUAGAAUACGAGAGUGACGUACGGGUGCGUAACACGUAUGCAACCUACCCUUUACAGGAGGAUAGCUCGGGGAAACUCGAAUUAACCCUCCAUGAGAUCACAGUGUGGCAUCACACAGAGAUUAAAACUCCGGUGGUAAAGGAUGGGCAUGCGUCUGAUUAGUUAGUUGGCGGGGUAACGGCCCACCAAGACGAUGAUCAGUAGGGGAACUGAGAGGUUGAUCCCCCANACUGGCACUGAGAUACGGGCCAGACUCCUACGGGAGGCAGCAGUAGGGAAUAUUGGUCAAUGGAUGGAAGUCUGAACCAGCCAUGCCGCGUGCAGGAAGAAGGCCUUCUGGGUUGUAAACUGCUUUUAGCCAGGGGAUAAAAAGACCAUGCGUGGUUAAUUGAAGGUACCUGGUGAAUAAGCCACGGCUAACUACGUGCCAGCAGCCGCGGUAAUAC
rnacentral:rRNA from 1 species